GGCGGUAGCUAAGCGAAGGCAAGGGCGCCCAUCGGGCGACGCUCGGAUCUCCCAUCUUGCCACGCAUCUGGUCGAUCUCAUACCUCUCGACACCUCGCGUCCACGGCGGCGCGAACAGACGGUGGCAGCGAAGCGAGUGCAAGGGGGCGGCGGAGGAGCUCUCAGCCGUUCCCACAUAUCCAACCUGAACCACCCUCCUUGGCUCUCCAGCAUUUCAUCUCAUCCGACUCAGUCCACGGCGUCGGGGUAUGCUAUUUUAU
rnacentral:rRNA from 1 species